CCUGUCCUUCACAGAAUGACAAAGGUUCCCUGUGAUCAAGGAUGGAUCGGAGAAUCAAGCCUCUAACUUUUUGGCUUACAAAGCAAGUUUUGAGUCACUCAACCAACCACAUAAUUCAUAGAGGUCUCUCGCACUCUUCCGCUCCAGCUAGGAAGCAACAAAGAGCUAAGAAAGGAAAAGAUCCGCGUGAGGCCCCAGCUCUCCCUCCCACUUCGACUUCAGCUCGCCUUUGCCUAGCCGUUCGUCCAACCCACGCCCACCACUUGUCCGCUCAACUCCAGCUCAAGAUUUACAUUGGAUGCUGAGUUCAAGGUUGCUGGAUGGGGAUGCUGAACGGGAUCGUUGAGCUCUUCACCGAGAAGUUGAUUAUGCUCUUCCAAGCCUGCAGUUUAGGUGUUUGACAAAAUUCCUUAGAGAAGGAAGGUUGUCCUUUGGUCGUGACUUAUGGUACAGACACUGGAACGUGCUAACCCGAAUGCCAUCUCACGCCACAAUUGACGCUCCGUUGCUCUGAAAACCACAGAGAUGGUUAACAUACGGAGUGGCAAAUCUAAUGGGUUGGAUUCCUUGAUGUCCCAAAAAUUGAAGAACAAAGCUACCUCGGCUGACAUUAAAAGCAAUAUAUUCAAAUCUUCGAAGGAGAAAGAGGCCGACAAUAUGAACAAAAUCGCAUCCAAACAAGAUACCAAUUGUGUUACUGUUGAUCAUAAUUGUGAUAUAAAUGCUAGAUUAGGCUGUAAACUGAGUAUUGAUCUUGUUGAUAUUAUGCCUGCUGUUGAGAAACCUGCUCGUGUUGUUGAGGCUGAAAUUGGAGCUUCCAAUAAGGCAGCUGGUUUUAGGGAAGAUGAUAUUAAGGGUAGUAAACUGGU